rnacentral:rRNA from 1 species
AGUGAACGCUGGCGGUAGGCCUAACACAUGCCAGUCGAACGGCAGCACAGUAAGAGCUUGCUCUUACGGGUGGCGAGUGGCGGACGGGUGAGGAAUACAUCGGAAUCUACUUUUUCGUGGGGGAUAACGUAGGGAAACUUACGCUAAUAACGCAUACGACCUACGGGUGAAAGCAGGGGAUCUUCGGACCUUGCGCGAUUGAAUGAGCCGAUGUCGGAUUAGCUAGUUGGCGGGGUAAAGGCCCACCAAGGCGACGAUCCGUAGCUGGUCUGAGAGGAUGAUCAGCCACACUGGAACUGAGACACGGUCCAGACUCCUACGGGAGGCAGCAGUGGGGAAUAUUGGACAAUGGGCGCAAGCCUGAUCCAGCCAUACCGCGUGGGUGAAGAAGGCCUUCGGGUUGUAAAGCCCUUUUGUUGGGAAAGAAAAGCAGCAGGUUAAUACCCCGCUGUUCUGACGGUACCCAAAGAAUAAGCACCGGCUAACUUCGUG